GCCCAGCUGAUGAGUCUCAAAUAGGACGAAACGUGCGUCCUAGAU
rnacentral:hammerhead_ribozyme from 1 species